rnacentral:lncRNA from 1 species
UAAUCAGAGAAUUAAGGGAGAUUCUUUCCUUUAAAUUCGUCAUUUAAAUUCUGUUAUUCCCUACCAUAUCUAUCUAAUUUUAUUUCCCUUGCAGAACCCUAAUUGCGCGCACCAGGAAAGGGAGGAAAAUCAUGGAUUUUAAAUCAGAGGCUUGAUUGAUAGCAGAAGAGGAUAAGUUCUUAAUCACAGGGAAUUCCAUUGGAGAACAAGUUGUGUACCUGGUCCAUAUUCAAGCCUUAUGGAAUGGAUUACUGCACAAGACAAUCCAGAGAAUUCUGGGAAAGUCUAAAUCAGAUUUAAAUCAAUAAUUCUACACUGUUGGAUCACAAAUCAAUCAAGGGCUAGGAGGAUAGCUAGGGUUUCGCCAAGACACUAUAUAAAGGAGCAGAGAGAAACGUUUCUUCAUCUCUUCUUCGCACAGUAAUCGGCAUUUUCGCACGAUCUUACGAGAUUGCGAACAUAUCAACGUUCUCGGAAUCUGCCGAAACCAAAUUCUUGGCUCCUUUUGGGACCUCCAUACACCCACAACAUUGAUCUUUCAACUUUUUUUGAGAAAAUUUGACGUGUUAUUUUUUCGCACGAUCUUAGAGAUUGCGAACAUAUCAACGUUCUCGGAAUCUGCCGAUACCAAAUUCUUGGCUCUUUUUGGGACCUCCAUACACCCACAACAUUGAUCUUUCAACUUUUUUUGAGAAAAUUUGAGGUGUUAUUUUGGCAUUUUCGCACGAUCUUACGAGAUUGCGAACAUAUCAACGUUCUCGGAAUCUGCCGAAACCAAAUUCUUGGCUCUUUGUGGGACCUCCAUACACCCACAACAUUGAUCUUUCAACUUUUUUUGAGAAAAUUUGAGGUGUUAUUUUGGCAUUUUCGCACGAUCUUACGAGAUUGCGAACAUAUCAACGUUCUCGGAAUCUGCCGAAACCAAAUUCUUGGCUCUUUUUGGGACCUCCAUACACCCACAACAUUGAUCUUUCAACUUUUUUUGAGAAAAUUUGACGUGUUAUUUUGGCAUUUUCGCACGAUCUUACGAGAUUACGAUCAUAUCAACGUUCUCGGAAUCUGCCGAAACCAAAUUCUUGGCUCUUUUUGGGACCUCCAUACACCCACAACAAUGAUCUUUCAACUUUUUUUGAGAAAAUUAGACGUGUUAUUUUUUCGCACGAUCUUACGAGAUUGCGAACAUAUCAACGUUCUCGGAAUCUGCCGAAACCAAAUUCUUGGCUCUUUUUGGGUACCUCCAUACACCCACAACAUUGAUCUUUCAACUUUUUUUGUAGAAAAUUU